UGAAACUAUUUCCUUUUUCUACCUGUUGUCCAGCAACUUUCUUCAACUACAGAAAUGAAAAGAGAAAUGGAUGGCCCUCUCAAUCUGUCCCACUUUCUUUACUGCCUUUUAAUGUAUGCCUUUUAAUUUAAUGUAUGAUAGUAAGUAGGUAUAGUAUUUCUAACUAAUGCUGCCUGUCACACUGACUUGGAAUUUGAUUUAGCAGAUCAAAUCAAUCUUCAUCCUGUAGAAAGAUUCAACACAAAAUGCAAACCCACCUCAGGAAAUGAACAAGUAUCAAGAUAAAAGUACUAAGCAAAACCAUAAAAAUUAAUUAAGCAGAAGCUUAUAAUUAAGGGACAACAAAUUAUUUUGUUUACUUACCUCCAUUAAGGAAGCUAAAAAGCAAGACAAGAUUCUAGGCCUACAUUCCAAUGGCCUCGUGACCAGAAGCAAACCUGCAUUAUUCAUUUAGGUAGUUGCUUGUAUGUAUCAAUAAUUUCGUCUAAUUAAUGGUAAUCGAGUGAGUAAUCAUACCUAGGCACUUGAAAGUACCACGAUUUGAAUGGAGCCACGUCUACCGAAGAACUAGCAGGAAAGAAAGACGGACUGAUCGAGUUAUUGUUAGCCAGAGACGACACUGAAAUCUUAUCGAACUCUCCAGUCUCCCUGGAGAAAGCUGUCGUGGAGUCGCCGGCAGCUUUUGGAGACGCAAAGGGACUGUCGGGGAGGUUGUGCUCCAAACUACAUUCAAAUCAAUAAAGAAACUUAAUCAUUCAGAGCAAUAGAACAUGACACCAAAUAAAUAGAUGAAUUAGAGGUCACACAUCAACAUUUAAUAUGCAUUCAACUAACACACUUGAAUGCUAAUUUCAGGACAUUACUGGUAAUAAUGAGUUUCGAAUCAAGAUAAGAAACACAGAAAACAAGGAGAGGUCCAGUACCUUCCUUUCAAAUCACUUUCUUUGUUGGGAUUUUCUGCGUCUUUGGUCGUUUCAUCCUUGAGAGAAGAAGAUUGUUUCUCUGUAUCAGUAACAUUCACUGGAUUUUUCACAGCCGAAAUUGAACUAUUUUCUGUAACAGCAUAAUUCCAAAUGCAAAAGUCUUUAUCCCAUCUUUCGACAACCAUGAAACACAAUGUCUAAUGAAAACUGAAAUAAAUAAAAAUGGCACCUUCUUUAGAUUCCAGGCUACCGCGAUCACCCGAUAGGACGACAUUUUGAUUGAAAAAACUCGGAGACUGUGUUGGGGAUGAAAGAAUGCCACCGGUAGAGAGUGUUCGGUGGUGGCUAUUCCUCUUGAUGUCAAGUUGUAGACCCAUAAGUCUCCUAUUUUGGAGCUCAAUUGCUUGCUGCAAAUCUGCUUGCUCCUCUAGUUUUCUUCUCCAUAACAUGUCGGGAUUGUUGUAGAACAUCCCUGCGCCUAAAGCCAAAAAGAAAAUACCAUUUUAAUCAAACAUGAAUUAGGAACGUCCUUUUUUCUUUUAGAAACCAACUGAAGUGAAGGCAUGAAGCAUUGCUGUUUACUUCAAGAAACCAAGAAAUCGUUGGUGCACGAUGCAAGGGAUGAGUAUUUACUUACCGAGCUGAAGAUCAUAAGAAUCUUUCGACUCCAGCCCGGUAGGGCUACUAUAUCCCGUGUACUCUCCCCUCUCCAUCUGAGGCUGUUUCCUGUAAGUGUCAUCAAAUUUAACAUUAAUAAUACAUAAGAUAAUUGGUCUACCACCCAGAAAGGCUUAUAGAGGGACUAACCUGUGUUUGUCGGGGAUUUUGCCUUUCUCCUUGUAUGGUUUGACGAGUACACGAGCAUCACAUACAUAGUGGGGAUUGCCCUUUGCAAGAAUGAGCUUUACAGUCUCCGGAUAAACAAAUGUGACAAAACCAAACAUCCGUUUCUGUUGAUACGGAAUCCUCACAUCUUGAACUGGCCCGUAAAUACUUCAAGAUGAAGCAAAUUAUUUAAUAAACUCAAUUCCAUCAGCUAAAGAAAGGUAUAAAUAACCUCAUUCAAGCUCAGGAAGAAAUUCAUGCACCUGAAAUAAUUGGACACAUCUUCCUCCUUGAAAGUACUAUCAGCUGGAAAUGUCAAGUAAAUUUGCCUCGAACCAGGAUUCAUCAUACCAAAAUCACCUCUUUCGAGCCGAGACCGACUAAAUUUGUGCAUAUCAUCACCCAAAAAGGCUCUACAAGUUCAAAUCCAAAAUUAUUAACUUCAACAAAAUUAUGAACCCAAUAAAAAGGUCAAGUAAAGAUGUUCAUGCCUUGGACUCUCAGCUUGCAGUUGCUCUUCAAAUAUUAUAAUCUUGGAUUUUCUUGAAUCUGGAUCUAAACGAGUUAAAGAAAGAUUUUGGAUUUAUAAUUUUCUUUUUUGGAUUAUACAAUGGGAAAUAGCCAUCAAUACUGAGAUGAGGGAAGAAAAUACAGACCCUGAAAUUUACUUACUUACUUCUACACAUUGAUAUUUCUUUGAUUUCACUGAAACUAUUUCCUUUUUCUACCUGUUGUCCAGCAACUUUCUUCAACUACAGAAAUGAAAAGAGAAAUGGAUGGCUGUCUCUCAAUCUGUCCCACUUUCUUUACUGCCUUUUAAUGUAUGCCUUUUAAUUUAAUGUAUGAUAGUAAGUAGGUAUAGUAUUUCUAACUAAUGCUGCCUGUCACACUGACUUGGAAUUUGAUUUAGCAGAUCAAAUCAAUCUUCAUCCUGUAGAAAGAUUCAACACAAAAUGCAAACCCACCUCAGGAAAUGAACAAGUAUCAAGAUAAAAGUACUAAGCAAAACCAUAAAAAUUAAUUAAGCAGAAGCUUAUAAUUAAGGGACAACAAAUUAUUUUG
rnacentral:lncRNA from 1 species